GGACCCGCACAAGCGGUGGAUGAUGUGGAUUAAUUCGAUGCAACGCGAAAAACCUUACCUACCCUUGACAUGGAUGGAAUCCCGAAGAGAUUUGGGAGUGCUCGAAAGAGAACCAUCACACAGGUGCUGCAUGGCUGUCGUCAGCUCGUGUCGUGAGAUGUUGGGUUAAGUCCCGCAACGAGCGCAACCCUUGUCAUUAGUUGCUACGAAAGGGCACUCUAAUGAGACUGCCGGUGACAAACCGGAGGAAGGUGGGGAUGACGUCAAGUCCUCAUGGCCCUUAUGGGUAGGGCUUCACACGUCAUACAAUGGUACAUACAGAGGGCCGCCAACCCGCGAGGGGGAGCUAAUCCCAGAAAGUGUAUCGUAGUCCGGAUUGGAGUCUGCAACUCGACUCCAUGAAGUUGGAAUCGCUAGUAAUCGCGGAUCAGCAUGUCGCGGUGAAUACGUUCCCGGGUCUUGUACACACCGCCCGUCACACCAUGGGAGCGGGUUUUACCAGAAGUGGGUAGCCUAACCGCAAGGAGGGCGCUCACCACGGUAGGAUUCGUGACUGGGGUGAAGUCGUAA
rnacentral:rRNA from 1 species